rnacentral:rRNA from 1 species
GUGCCAGCAGCCGCGGUAAUACCGGCAGCUCAAGUGAUGGCCACUCUUAUUGGGCCUAAAGCGUCCGUAGCUGGCCGCGCAAGUCCGUCGGGAAAUCCAUCAGCCCAACUGAUGGGCGUCCGGCGGAAACUGCACGGCUUGGGGCCGAGAGACUCGACGGGUACGUCCGGGGUAGGAGUGAAAUCCUAUAAUCCUGGACGGACCACCAAUGGGGAAACCACGUCGAGAGACCGGACCCGACAGUGAGGGACGAAAGCCAGGGUCUCGAACCGGAUUAGAUACCCUAGUAGUCC